rnacentral:rRNA from 1 species
UAGGGAAUCUUCGGCAAUGGGGGCAACCCUGACCGAGCAACGCCGCGUGAGUGAAGAAGGUUUUCGGAUCGUAAAGCUCUGUUGUAAGAGAAGAACGUGUGUGAGAGUGGAAAGUUCACACAGUGACGGUAACUUACCAGAAAGGGACGGCUAACUACGUGCCAGCAGCCGCGGUAAUACGUAGGUCCCGAGCGUUGUCCGGAUUUAUUGGGCGUAAAGCGAGCGCAGGCGGUUGAAUAAGUCUGAAGUUAAAGGCAGUGGCUUAACCAUUGGUCGCUUUGGAAACUGAUAAGCUAGAGUGCAGAAGGGGAGAGUGGAAUUCCAUGUGUAGCGGUGAAAUGCGUAGAUAUAUGGAGGAACACCGGUGGCGAAAGCGGGUCUCUGGGCUGUAACUGACGCUGAGGCUCGAAAGCGUGGGGAGCAAACAGG